rnacentral:SRP_RNA from 1 species
GGGUAGGCUAUGCCGGGAGGUUAGCUCUCUCCUGUGACUGUCAGCGAGCUUUAGGCAGGGCGAAUCGCUGUUGCGGCUUUGUGCGGUCAUUGCAGUCUUGCACCUGACGUUGAAGGUCUGUCCUGGUUGGGUGCUUAUGGGCGAAUCGUGUCAGGCGGGGAACCGAGCAGCACUAAACUCACUGGCUACUGCUUCCAGGGGUGCGGACCUGAGAAGGGAUGCAAGAGUGCUGCAGGGUCGUUCACUGUCAAGACAGUGGCGCUUACCC